rnacentral:rRNA from 1 species
GGGCUUGACAUCCCACGAACCUGCCCGAAAAGGUGGGGUGCCCGCAAGGGAGCGUGGAGACAGGUGGUGCACGGCUGUCGUCAGCUCGUGUCGUGAGAUGUUGGGUUAAGUCCCGCAACGAGCGCAACCCUCACCCCUAGUUGCCACCGGGUUAAGCCGAGCACUCAAGGGGAACUGCCAGCGUCAAGCUGGAGGAAGGCGGGGAUGACGUCAAGUCAUCAUGCCCCUUACGCCCUGGGCUACACACGUGCUACAAUGGCCGGUACAAAGGGAUGCAACGCCGUGAGGCAGAGCCAAACCCAAAAAGCCGGUCUAAGUUCAGAUUGGAGUCUGCAACUCGACUCCAUGAAGGAGGAAUCGCUAGUAAUCGCGUAUCAGCACGACGCGGUGAAUACGUUCCCGGGCCUUGUACACACCGCCCGUCACACCACGAAAGCCAGCUGUACUCGAAGUCGCUGAG